AACGAACGCUGGCGGCAGGCCUAACACAUGCAAGUCGAGCGAGGACUUCGGUCCUAGCGGCGGACAGGUGAGUCACGCGUGGGAACGUGCCCUUUUCUUCGGAAUAGCACUGGGAAACUGGGGGUAAUACCGGGUGAGCCCUUCGGGGGCAAGAUUUGACGGCGAAGGAUCGGCCGGCGUUGGUUUAGCCUGUUGCUGGGGUAAUGGCCUACCACGCCGACGCUCCUUAGCGGGGUUGAGAGGAUGAUCAGCCACACUGGGACUGAGACACGGCCCAGACUCCUACGGGAGGCAGCAGUGGGGAAUCUUAGACAAUGGGGGAAACCCUGAUCUAGCCAGGCCGGGUGAGCGAUGAAGGCCUUAGGGUAGUAAAGCUCUUUCAGCUGGGAAGAUAAUGACGGUACCAGCAGAAGAAGCCCCGGCUAACUCCGUG
rnacentral:rRNA from 1 species